AUUGAACGCUGGCGGCAUGCCUUACACAUGCAAGUCGAACGGCAGCACGGGUGCUUGCACCUGGUGGCGAGUGGCGAACGGGUGAGUAAUACAUCGGAACGUACCUUAUCGUGGGGGAUAACGCAGCGAAAGUUGCGCUAAUACCGCAUACGCCCUGAGGGGGAAAGCGGGGGACCGUAAGGCCUCGCGCGAUUAGAGCGGCCGAUGUGUGAUUAGCUUGUUGGUGAGGGAAAAGCUCACCAAGGCGAUGAUCAGUAGCUGGUCUGAGAGGACGAUCCGCCACACUGGGACUGAGACACGGCCCAGACUCCUACGGGAGGCAGCAGUGGGGAAUUUUGGACAAUGGGGGCAACCCUGAUCCAGCAAUGCCGCGUGAGUGAAGAAGGCCUUCGGGUUGUAAAGCUCUUUUGUCAGGGAAGAAACAGCAGCUCUAACACAGUCUGCGAAUGACGGUACCUGAAGAAUAAGCACCGGCUAACUACGUGCCAGCCGCCGCAGUAA
rnacentral:rRNA from 1 species